CGCGAAUGGCUCAUUAUAACAGCUAUAAUUUACUUGAUCUUGACACAAUCCUACUUGGAUAACUGUGGUAAUUCUAGAGCUAAUACAUGCAUUAAAGCUCUGACCUCACGGGAAGAGUGCAUUUAUUAGAACAAAACCAAGCGGCUUCGGCUGUUUCUGGUUGACUCAUAGUAACUGAGCUGAUCGCAUGGUCUUGCACCGGCGACGUGUCUUUCAAGUAUCUGCCGUAUCAACUUUCGAUGGUAGUGUAUCUGACUACCAUGGUGAUCACGCGUAACGGAGAAUAGGGGUUCGGCUCCGGAGAGUUCGCCUGAGAAAUCGCGAACACAUCUAAGGAAGGCAGCAGGCGCGAAAAUUACCCACUCUCAGCACGAGGAGGUAGUGACGAAAAAUAACGAGACCGUUCUCUUAUGAGGCCGGUCAUCGGAAUGGGUACAAUUUAAACCCUUUAACGAGUAUCUAUGAGAGGGCAAGUCUGGUGCCAGCAGCCGCGGUAAUUCCAGCU
rnacentral:rRNA from 1 species